UGGGGAAUAUUGCACAAUGGGGGAAACCCUGAUGCAGCGACGCCGCGUGAACGAAGAAGGUAUUCGUAUCGUAAAGUUCUGUCCUAUGGGAAGAUAAUGACAGUACCAUAGAAGAAAGCUCCGGCUAAAUACGUGCCAGCAGCCGCGGUAAUACGUAUGGCGCGAGCGUUGUCCGGAAUUAUUGGGCGUAAAGGGUACGCAGGCGGUUUAAUAAGUCGAAUGUUAAAGAUCGGGGCUCAACCCCGCAAAGCAUUGGAAACUGAUAAACUUGAGUAGUGGAGAGGAAAGUGGAAUUCCUAGUGUAGUGGUGAAAUACGUAGAUAUUAGGAGGAAUACCAGUAGCGAAGGCGACUUUCUGGACACAAACUGACGCUGAGGUACGAAAGCGUGGGGAGCAAACAGG
rnacentral:rRNA from 1 species